GACGAACGCUGGCGGCGUGCCUAAUACAUGCAAGUUGAGCGCUGAAGGUUGGUACUUGUACCAACUUGAUGAGCAGCGCACGGGUGAGUAACGCGUGGGGAAUCUGCCUUUGAGCGGGGUACAACAUUUGGAAACGAAUGCUAAUACCGCAUAAAAACUUUCAACACAAGUUUUAAGUUUGAAAUAUGCAAUUGCAUCACUCAAAGAUGAUCCCGCGUUGUAUUAGCUAGUUGGUGAGGUAAAGGCUCACCAAGGCGAUGAUACAUAGCCGACCUGAGAGGGUGAUCGGCCACAUUGGGACUGAGACACGGCACAAACUGCUACGGGAGGCAGCAGUAGGGAAUCUUCGGCAAUGGACGAAAGUCUGACCGAGCAACGCCGCGUGAGUGAAGAAGGUUUUCGGAUCGUAAAACUCUGUUGGUAGAGAAGAACGUUGGUGAGAGUGGAAAGAUCAUCAAGUGACGGUAACUACCCAGAAAGGGACGGCUAACUACGUG
rnacentral:rRNA from 1 species